rnacentral:rRNA from 1 species
UGGGGAAUAUUGCGCAAUGGGGGAAACCCUGACGCAGCAACGCCGCGUGGAGGAUGAAGGUUUUCGGAUUGUAAACUCCUUUGAUCGGGGACGAAAAAUGACGGUACCCGAAAAACAAGCCACGGCUAACUACGUGCCAGCAGCCGCGGUAAUACGUAGGUGGCGAGCGUUGUCCGGAAUUACUGGGUGUAAAGGGCGUGUAGGCGGGAUUGCAAGUCAGAUGUGAAAUUCCAGGGCUCAACUCUGGAGCUGCAUCUGAAACUGUGAUUCUUGAGUGCUGGAGAGGAUAGUGGAAUUCCUAGUGUAGCGGUGAAAUGCGUAGAUAUUAGGAGGAACACCAGUGGCGAAGGCGGCUAUCUGGACAGUAACUGACGCUGAGGCGCGAAAGCGUGGGGAGCAA